rnacentral:rRNA from 1 species
GACGAACGCUGGCGGCGUGCUUAACACAUGCAAGUCGAACGGAGAGGCCCUGCUUUUGUGGGGUGCUCGAGUGGCGAACGGGUGAGUAACACGUGAGUAACCUGCCCUUGACUUUGGGAUAACUUCAGGAAACUGGGGCUAAUACCGGAUAGGAGCUCCUGCUGCAUGGUGGGGGUUGGAAAGUUUCGGCGGUUGGGGAUGGACUCGCGGCUUAUCAGCUUGUUGGUGGGGUAGUGGCUUACCAAGGCUUUGACGGGUAGCCGGCCUGAGAGGGUGACCGGCCACAUUGAGACUGAGAUACGGCCCAGACUCCUACGGGAGGCAGCAGUGGGGAAUAUUGCACAAUGGGCGGAAGCCUGAUGCAGCAACGCCGCGUGCGGGAUGACGGCCUUCGGGUUGUAAACCGCUUUCGCCUGUGACGAAGCGUGAGUGACGGUAAUGGGUAAAGAAGCACCGGCUAACUACGUG